rnacentral:tRNA from 1 species
UGGUCAAGUCCCUCUAUCCCCA